GACAGAGGGGGCAAGCGUUGCUCGGAAUCACUGGGCGUAAAGGGCGCGUAGGCGGGAUGGCAAGUCAGUCGUGAAAUCUCUCGGCUCAACCGAGAAACGUCGGCUGAUACUGCCGUUCUUGAGGGAUGCAGAGGAGACUGGAAUUCCCGGUGUAGCGGUGAAAUGCGCAGAUAUCAGGAGGAACACCGGUGGCGAAGGCGGGUCUCUGGGCCGAUACUGACGCUGAGGAGCGAAAGCCAGGGGAGCAAACGGG
rnacentral:rRNA from 1 species